rnacentral:rRNA from 1 species
AACGAACGCUGGCGGCAUGCCUAACACAUGCAAGUCGAACGAGACCUUCGGGUCUAGUGGCGCACGGGUGCGUAACGCGUGGGAACCUGCCCUUAGGUUCGGAAUAACUCCCCGAAAGGGGUGCUAAUACCGGAUAAUGUCUUCGGACCAAAGAUUUAUCGCCUUUGGAUGGGCCCGCGUUGGAUUGGCUAGUUGGUAGGGUAAAAGCCUACCAAGGCGACGAUCCAUAGCUGGUCUGAGAGGAUGGUCAGCCACACUGGGACUGAGACACGGCUCAGACUCCUACGGGAGGCAGCAGUGGGGAAUAUUGGACAAUGGGCGAAAGCCUGAUCCAGCAAUGCCGCGUGAGUGAUGAAGGCCUUAGGGUUGUAAAGCUCUUUUACCCGGGAUGAUAAUGACAGUACCGGGAGAAUAAGCUCCGGCUAACUCCGUG